UCAGUUUAGGGUUUAAACCCUAAUGCUGACUGGAAGCAAAAGCUCAGUUUAGGGUUUAAAACCCUAAUGCUGGCUGAAAGGAAAAGCUCAGUUUAGGGUUUAAAACCCUAAUGCUGGCUAAAGGAAAAAUUUCAGUUUAGGGUUUAAAACCCUAAUGCUGACUAAAAGAAAAAAUUCAGUUUAGGGUUUAAAACCCUAAUGCUGACUAAAAGGAAAAAUUCAGUUUAGGGUUUAAAACCCUAAUGCUGAUUGCAUGAAAAAGCUCAGUUUAGGGUUUAAAACCCUAAUGCUGGCUGAAAGGAAAAAGUUCAGUUUAGGGUUUAAAACCCUAAUGCUGACUAAAAGGAAAAUUCAGUUUAGGGUUUAGAACCCUAAUGCUAAUUGCAUGGAAAAGCUCAGUUUAGGGUUUAAAACCCUAAUGCUGGCUGAAAAGGAAAAAGUUCAGUUUAAGGUUUAAAACCCUAAUGCUGACUAAAAGGAAAAUUCAGUUUAGGGUUUAGAACCCUAAUGCUGAUUGCAUGGAAAAGC
rnacentral:lncRNA from 1 species